AAGUCGUAACAAGGUUUCCGUAGGUGAACCUGCGGAAGGAUCAUUAAAGAACGCCCCGUUUUUUGAAAUGGGUAAUUCCCAAACCGUGUCUAUAUACCUUUGUUGCUUUGGCAGGUCGCCUUCUAGGAGGCGUCGGCUCCGGCUGACUGCGCCUGCCAGAGGACCCAAACUCGUUUUGUUUAGUGUCGUCUGAGUACUAUAUAAUAGUUAAAACUUUCAACAACGGAUCUCUUGGUUCUGGCAUCGAUGAAGAACGCAGCGAAAUGCGAUAAGUAAUGUGAAUUGCAGAAUUCAGUGAAUCAUCGAAUCUUUGAACGCACAUUGCGCCCCUUGGUAUUCCGAGGGGCAUGCCUGUUCGAGCGUCAUUAUAACCACUCAAGUUUCGACUUGGUAUUGGGGUUCGCGGUUUCGCGGCCCUUAAAAUCAGUGGCGGUGCCGUCUGGCUCUAAGCGUAGUAAUUCUCUCGCUACAGGGUCCGGGUGGUUGCUUGCCAGAAUCCCCCACUUUUAUAGGUUGACCUCGGAUCAGGUAGGGAUACCCGCUGAACUUAAGCAUAUCAAUAAGCGGAGGAAAAGAAACCAACAGGGAUUGCCUCAGUAACGGCGAGUGAAGCGGCAACAGCUCAAAUUUGAAAUCUGGCUCUUUCAGGGUCCGAGUUGUAAUUUGUAGAAGAUGCUUUGGGUGUGGCUCCGGUCUAAGUUCCUUGGAACAGGACGUCAUAGAGGGUGAGAAUCCCGUACGUGACUGGGUGCCUUCGCUCGUGUAAAGCUCUUUCGACGAGUCGAGUUGUUUGGGAAUGCAGCUCAAAAUGGGUGGUAAAUUUCAUCUAAAGCUAAAUAUUGGCCAGAGACCGAUAGCGCACAAGUGGAGUGAUCGAAAGAUGAAAAGCACUUUGGAAAGAGAGUUAAACAGUACGUGAAAUUGUUGAAAGGGAAGCGCUUGCAACCAGACUUGCACGCUGUUGAUCAUCCGAGGUUUUCCCCGGUGUAUUCGGCAGCGUUCAGGCCAGCAUCGGUUUUGGUGGGCGGAUAAAGGCCUUGGGAAUGUAGCUCCUUUCGGGGAGUGUUAUAGCCCUCGGUGCAAUGCGCCCUACCGGGACCGAGGACCGCGCUUCGGCUAGGAUGCUGGCGUAAUGGUUGUAAGCGACC
rnacentral:rRNA from 1 species